GAGUUUGAUCUUGGCUCAGAUUGAACGCUGGCGGCAUGCCUUACACAUGCAAGUCGAACGGUAACAGGUCUUCGGAUGCUGACGAGUGGCGAACGGGUGAGUAAUACAUCGGAACGUGCCCGAUCGUGGGGGGAUAACGGAGCGAAAGCUUUGCUAAUACCGCAUACGAUCUACGGAUGAAAGCAGGGGACCGCAAGGCCUUGCGCGGACGGAGCGGCCGAUGGCAGAUUAGGUAGUUGGUGGGAUAAAAGCUUACCAAGCCGACGAUCUGUAGCUGGUCUGAGAGGACGACCAGCCACACUGGGACUGAGACACGGCCCAGACUCCUACGGGAGGCAGCAGUGGGGAAUUUUGGACAAUGGGCGAAAGCCUGAUCCAGCCAUGCCGCGUGCAGGAUGAAGGCCUCGG
rnacentral:rRNA from 1 species